rnacentral:rRNA from 1 species
UCAUCAUGCCCUUUAUGUCCUGGGCUACACACGUGCUACAAUGGCCUGUACAGAGGGAAGCGAAAGGGUGACCUGGAGCGAAUCCCAAAAAGCAGGUCUCAGUUCGGAUUGCAGGCUGCAACCCGCCUGCAUGAAGUCGGAAUCGCUAGUAAUCGCAGGUCAGCAUACUCGUGGUCGAAUACGGUUCCCGGGCCUU